CCGCGCAAAGGUAGCGUAAUCACUUGUCUUCUAAAUAAAGACUAGUAUGAACGGCCACACGAAGACUUGACUGUCUCCCUAGUCCAAUCAGUGAAACUAAUCUCCUCGUGCAGAAGCGAGAAUACACCCAUUAGACGAGAAGACCCUAUGGAGCUUUAAACUCAAUAUUAAUUAUAUUUUACUCUUCUCUAAGGAACUAACAACUUUUUUAACUUAAUAUUAGUUUUAGGUUGGGGCGACCAUGGAGAAAAAAAUAUCCUCCCUGAUGAUUUUCUAACCAAGAGCUACAGCUCUAAGUAUUAAGACCCUUAACUCCCAUUGACCCAUUUUAUGAUCAACGAACCAAGUUACCCUAGGGAUAACAGCGCAAUCCAUUUCAAGAGUUCCUAUCGACAAAUGGGUU
rnacentral:rRNA from 1 species